UGAUUUUACAGAUACCUAAAUCAGGUUGAA
rnacentral:piRNA from 1 species